rnacentral:rRNA from 1 species
UACGUAGGGACCUAGCGUUGUCCGGAAUCAUUGGGCGUAAAGCGCGCGUAGGCGGCCCGGUAAGUCCGUUGUAAAAGUCAAAGGCUCAACCUUUGAAAGCCGAUGGAUACAGCCGGGCUAGAGUACGGAAGAGGCGAGUAGAAUUCCUGGUGUAGCGGUGGAAUGCGCAGAUAUCAGGAGGAAUACCCAUAGCGAAGGCAGCUCGCUGGGACGUUACUGACGCUGAGGCGCGAAAGCGUGGGGAGCGAACAGG